AUGCAGUCCCAGCAAGCACCAACAAGGAAGGCAGCUGAGGAGAAGGAAAAGCGUCGUGGGCAGAGGCAGAGUGCCGGCAGCACAAAAGACACCAGUGCCCACGGGACCUCUGGCACACAGCCCAUAGACACGUUUAAGCGGUACCAUUGGCACCACAACGAUGCAGGGAACAGGCCAGCCCCUCAACCACACAGUGACAGGGGGCCUGGGCUUUUUCCUACUCAAAAUGGCGGCAUGAGGCAAAGGCAGGAACAUCAGCCACACAGCCGCAAGGACCACAGGCAUGACUAUAGUGCGCAACACAGUCUGGGACCCAAGCAUGGCCAUAAAGCAGAUGGCAGCGUCGGGCCCACAAAUGGAAAUGAAGCGCAGAGUGGAAUGGGACAUCGGCGUGAAAGUGAACGACCCCACGGUUCGGCACCCCGGCUGAAAAGGCUUCCGGACCAAAGGCAUCCCGUGCAGCCAGGCCCCAGCAGGGACCAGCUUGAUCAUCGGCAGCUCCAAGCCGUGCCCCGUCCUUCCCCUAAACCUGACAGCAACUCAGGCCAUGGGCCUUACAAUUCAUGCAAUGGUCGCGUGGGGCGAAGGCAGGAGCAUUAUACAGACAGCCGCAUGCAGCAGAGGCGUGCCCAUAGUCCUCAACGCAGUGUGGGAUCCAGGCAUGGCCAGAAACGAGACGGCAGCAUCGGAGCCACAAAUGGAAAUCCACCGCACAGUGGCAUGGGACCUAGGUGUGAAAGUGGACGACCCUGUGGUUCGGCAGCCUGGCUGGAAAAGUCUCCUGAUCAAAGGCAUCGUGUGCGGCCAGGACUCAGCAAGGAUGGGCUCAAACAUCAGCAAGUCCAAGCCAUGCGCUGCCCUUCCCCUAAACCAGACAGCGACUCACGGCAUGGGUCUUCCAAUUGUCGCAACAAUGGCAUGGGGCAAAGGCAGGAACAUCGUCCAGACAGCCGCGCGGAGCAGAGGCAUGCCUAUCAAGCAAGCCCAGACACAUAUAAGCGGUACCAUUGGCACUGCAGCGAUGCGGGGAGCAGGCCGGCCCCUCAAACACACAGCGACAGGGGGCCUGGGCUUUCCCAUAGCCGCAACAGUGGGGCAAAGUAA
rnacentral:lncRNA from 1 species